rnacentral:tRNA from 1 species
GGGGUGUUAGCUCAGCUGGCCAGAGCGCUUGCAUGGCAUGCAAGAGGUCAUCGGUUCGACUCCGAUACGCUCCACCA